GCAUAUCAAUAAGCGGAGGAAAAGAAACCAACAGGGAUUGCCUCAGUAACGGCGAGUGAAGCGGCAAAAGCUCAAAUUUGAAAUCCUUCGGGAGUUGUAAUUUGUAGGUUGGGAGACCCCGCGGCUAGUGGCACCAAGUCCCUUGGAACAGGGCGCCUUAGAGGGUGAGAGCCCCGUAGGUACCACAAUACCGUCUUGUGUCUCCUCUCCAAAGAGUCGAGUUGUUUGGGAAUGCAGCUCAAAGUGGGUGGUAAAUUCCAUCUAAAGCUAAAUACCGGCGAGAGACCGAUAGCGAACAAGUACAGUGAUGGAAAGAUGAAAAGCACUUUGAAAGGAGAGUGAAACAGUACGUGAAAUUGUUGAAAGGGAAGGGCUUGCAAGCAGACACGGCCUUCGUGCCGGGCCAGCAUCGGUUGCUAGGGGUGGAUAAGGAACAAGGAAUGUAGCUCCUCGGAGUAUUAUAGCCUUGCGCGAUACACCCACUGGCGACCGAGGCCUGCGGUAUUCUUUACCUAGGAUGCUGGCGUAAUGGUUGCAAGCCGCCCGUCUUGAAACACGGACC
rnacentral:rRNA from 1 species